UUGAACGCUGGCGGUAUGCUUAACACAUGCAAGUCGAACGGAAACGAUACUAGCUUGCUAGUAGGCGUCGAGUGGCGGACGGGUGAGUAACGCGUAGGAAUCUGCCUGAUAGUGGGGGAUAGCCCGAAGAAAUUCGGAUUAAUACCGCAUAAUCUAUUCGUAGUAAAGUGGGGGACUUUCGAGCCUCACGCUAUCAGAUGAGCCUGCGUAAGAUUAGCUUGUUGGUAGGGUAAAAGCCUACCAAGGCGACGAUCUUUAGCUGGUCUGAGAGGAUGAUCAGCCACAUCGGGACUGAGACACGGCCCGAACUCCUACGGGAGGCAGCAGUGGGGAAUAUUGGACAAUGGGGGCAACCCUGAUCCAGCAAUACCGCGUGUGUGAAGAAGGCCUGAGGGUUGUAAAGCACUUUCAAUUGUGAAGAAAAGUUAGCGGUUAAUAACCGUUAGCCUUGACGUUAACUUUAGAAGAAGCACCGGCUAACUCCGUGCCAGCAGCCGCGGUAAUACGGAGGGUGCAAGCGUUAAUCGGAAUUACUGGGCGUAAAGCGUGCGUAGGCGGUUUAUUAAGUCAGAUGUGAAAGCCCCGGGCUUAACCUGGGAACUGCAUUUGAAACUGGUCAACUAGAGUAUGGUAGAGGAAAGUGGAAUUUCUGGUGUAGCGGUGAAAUGCGUAGAUAUCAGAAGGAACAUCAAUGGCGAAGGCAGCUUUCUGGACCAAUACUGACGCUGAGGUACGAAAGCGUGGGUAGCAAACAGGAUUAGAUACCCUGGUAGUCCACGCCGUAAACGAUGAUAACUAGCCGUUGGGGGGAUUUACCCUUUAGUGGCGAAGCUAACGCGUUAAGUUAUCCGCCUGGGGAGUACGGCCGCAAGGUUAAAACUCAAAGGAAUUGACGGGGACCCGCACAAGCGGUGGAGCAUGUGGUUUAAUUCGAUGCAACGCGAAGAACCUUACCUGGUCUUGACAUCCUGCGAACUUUCUAGAAAUAGAUUGGUGCCUUCGGGAACGCAGUGACAGGUGCUGCAUGGCUGUCGUCAGCUCGUGUCGUGAGAUGUUGGGUUAAGUCCCGUAACGAGCGCAACCCCUAUCCUUAUUUGCCAGCACAUCAUGGUGGGAACUAUAAGGAGACUGCCGGUGAUAAACCGGAGGAAGGCGGGGACGACGUCAAGUCAUCAUGGCCCUUACGACCAGGGCUACACACGUGCUACAAUGGGAAGGACAAAGAGCCGCGAAGCCGCGAGGUGUAGCUAAUCUCAUAAACCUUUUCGUAGUCCGGAUUGGAGUCUGCAACUCGACUCCAUGAAGUCGGAAUCGCUAGUAAUCGUAGAUCAGAAUGCUACGGUGAAUACGUUCCCGGGUCUUGUACUCACCG
rnacentral:rRNA from 1 species